rnacentral:lncRNA from 1 species
GUUGUUUUUUUUAACCUGCUCAAGCUUUCAUUAAUUUCAGUAGCUUAAAUUUUUGUUUUAAUGAAAAAUUCUCAAAUGGAAAAAACAAAAACAAGCCCAGAAAAGAGAUCCCCGCUGACCUUGGAGGAAGCCGUGUCAGUUGAAUAAUGAGGUCAGAAGCUGGGUUAUGAAGGGCUUGGAAAAAACGGGGAGGAGAGAAAGGGAAGACGGUGCAGUAAGCAGCUUGUUCAAGGUUUGGCUGAGAAAGGGAGGAGAGAUGCAGGACGGUGGCUUGAGCAUCUGGAUUUGGACUGGGUGAUGCAGGGGCAUUUAAGGGUGCAAACAUCUGGAGGCGCUGGAAGCUGGCACCCAGUGCCCUGCCCUGCCCCCCCACCCUUCCCUGGCCGGUGGCUCAAGGUCCUGGUCCUGGCCCUGCCGGAAGUGGCCCUGGCCUGGCCUGAGGCCCCCUGCCGGGUCAGAAGCAUGGAAUGUCAGCUAUGCCAGCUGGGCACUGAGCCCACUUGCCGACGAGCCCCCUCAGGCCUAGAGAGGGAAGGGAAUCUGCUCAAGGCCACCAGGUUGACCAGGGAGAAAAGUGCCGAGCCGGGGUUAGCAUCUAUAACCACAGCCAGCGCUUUACAAGCAUCAUCUUAUUUGAUCUCCACGACAAUCCACCGAGUCUGCUGUUCAGUCAAGUCCGACUCUUUGUGACCCCAUUUGGGGUUUUCUUUGUCUAAAGUGGUUUGCCAUUUCCUUCUCCAGCUCAUUUUACAGGUGAGGAAACUGAGGCAAACAGGGUGAAGUGACUUGCCCAGGUCACACAGC